rnacentral:tRNA from 1 species
AGCCCUAUAUUCAAUUAUGAUUUUAAAUUGCAAAUUUAAAGGUAAAUUUUAAUUUUAAGGCUU